CCUACGGGAGGCAGCAGUGGGGAAUAUUGCACAAUGGGGGAAACCCUGAUGCAGCGACGCCGCGUGAGCGAUGAAGUAUUUCGGUAUGUAAAGCUCUAUCAGCAGGGAAGAAGAUGACGGUACCUGACUAAGAAGCCCCGGCUAACUACGUGCCAGCAGCCGCGGUAAUACGUAGGGGGCAAGCGUUAUCCGGAUUUACUGGGUGUAAAGGGAGCGUAGACGGCGAUGCAAGCCAGAUGUGAAAGCCCGGGGCUCAACCCCGGGACUGCAUUUGGAACUGUGUGGCUGGAGUGCAGGAGGGGCAGGCGGAAUUCCUGGUGUAGCGGUGAAAUGCGUAGAUAUCAGGAGGAACACCGGUGGCGAAGGCGGCCUGCUGGACUGCAACUGACGUUGAGGCCCGAAAGCGUGGGGAGCAAACAGGAUUAGAUACCCCUGUAGUC
rnacentral:rRNA from 1 species